rnacentral:rRNA from 1 species
CCCGGGCCUUGUACACACCGCCCGUCACAUCACGAAAAGCCCGUUGUACUAGAAGCCGGUAAUUUAACCGCGAGGAAAUAGCCGUCCAAGGUAUGACUGGUGAUUGGGGUG